rnacentral:rRNA from 1 species
CAUAGGUUAAUGAGGCGAACCGGGGGAACUGAAACAUCUAAGUACCCCGAGGAAAAGAAAUCAACCGAGAUUCCCCCAGUAGCGGCGAGCGAACGGGGAGCAGCCCAGAGCCUGAAUCAGUGUGUGUGUUAGUGGAAGCGUCUGGAAAGGCGCGCGAUACAGGGUGACAGCCCCGUACACAAAAAUGCACAUACUGUGAGCUCGAUGAGUAGGGCGGGACACGUGGUAUCCUGUCUGAAUAUGGGGGGACCAUCCUCCAAGGCUAAAUACUCCUGACUGACCGAUAGUGAACCAGUACCGUGAGGGAAAGGCGAAAAGAACCCCGGCGAGGGGAGUGAAAAAGAACCUGAAACCGUGUACGUACAAGCAGUGGGAGCACGCUUAGGCGUGUGACUGCGUACCUUUUGUAUAAUGGGUCAGCGACUUAUAUUCUGUAGCAAGGUUAACCGAAUAGGGGAGCCGAAGGGAAACCGAGUCUUAACUGGGCGUUAAGUUGCAGGGUAUAGACCCGAAACCCGGUGAUCUAGCCAUGGGCAGGUUGAAGGUUGGGUAACACUAACUGGAGGACCGAACCGACUAAUGUUGAAAAAUUAGCGGAUGACUUGUGGCUGGGGGUGAAAGGCCAAUCAAACCGGGAGAUAGCUGGUUCUCCCCGAAAGCUAUUUAGGUAGCGCCUCGUGAAUUCAUCUCCGGGGGUAGAGCACUGUUUCGGCAAGGGGGUCAUCCCGACUUACCAACCCGAUGCAAACUGCGAAUACCGGAGAAUGUUAUCACGGGAGACACACGGCGGGUGCUAACGUCCGUCGUGAAGAGGGAAACAACCCAGACCGCCAGCUAAGGUCCCAAAGUCAUGGUUAAGUGGGAAACGAUGUGGGAAGGCCCAGACAGCCAGGAUGUUGGCUUAGAAGCAGCCAUCAUUUAAAGAAAGCGUAAUAGCUCACUGGUCGAGUCGGCCUGCGCGGAAGAUGUAACGGGGCUAAACCAUGCACCGAAGCUGCGGCAGCGACGCUGAUGCGUUGUUGGGUAGGGGAGCGUUCUGUAAGCCUGUGAAGGUGUGCUGUGAGGCAUGCUGGAG